rnacentral:rRNA from 1 species
UACGUAGGGUGCGAGCGUUAAUCGGAAUUACUGGGCGUAAAGCGUGCGCAGGCGGUUCGUUGUGUCGGUGGUGAAAGCCCGGCUUAACCUGGGAAUGGCCUGGAAACUGGCGAACUGGAGUGUGGCAGAGGGGGUGGAAUUCCGGCGUGUAGCAGUGAAAUGCGUAGAGAUGCGGAGGAACACCGAUGGCGAAGGCAGCCCCUGGGCUAACACUGACGCUCAUGCACGAAAGCGUGGGGAGCAAACAGG